GUGAGAAUGGUUGUUAUAUUAUGUUGAUAUCAAGACUGCUGCAAUUUCUAUUUAGGAAAUGUGACACUGGAAGGGCCUUAAGCUGACUAGGCCAUGUUCAUACAAUCAAAUUAUAAGGAUAGAGCCUACCUUGAUUAGUGGAUUACUGCGUAGAAUUAGUCCUACCACUAAGCUCGUAGUCCGUAGCCACCAAGUUUAAUUGAUUUGAAGUGCGGUACUCUAUUGGUGGUAUCUGGGGCUUCUACUGAGUGCAAAUGUACCAACCAAGACCACAGAUUCAGGUUUUCAUGUGUUCGGAACCAACGAUAAGCUGCUACUAUAUGUCAAAACCCAUUCCAGUCCAGUACAAAUUGGAGACUAAUACCAAAACUUGAAAUCGGACACAGCGAAAACCAACCAAGCGGAAAAUUAACCAAACAAGCUAACAAAGCAAACAAGCUAACAAGGCCUAAAACAAACCAAGCAUUAUGACAAUGGUUACAGCGUUAAAAUUCUUUAAACCAAAGAGGCUUCCUACCUCCAAAGGCUAUAAUAACCAGACCA